CAUGCAAGUCGAACGAGAUCUUCGGAUCUAGUGGCGCACGGGUGAGUAACGCGUGGGAACCUACCUUUUAGUACGGGACAACGUUUGGAAACGAACGCUAAUACCGUAUACGCCCUCCGGGGGAAAGGUCUGCCGCUAAAAGAGGGGCCCGCGUCUGAUUAGCUUGUUGGUAGGGUAAUGGCCUACCAAGGCAACGAUCAGUAGCUGGUCUGAGAGGAUGAUCAGCCACACUGGGACUGAGACACGGCCCAGACUCCUACGGGAGGCAGCAGUGGGGAAUAUUGGACAAUGGAGGCAACUCUGAUCCAGCAAUGCCGCGUGUGUGAUGAAGGCCCUAGGGUUGUAAAGCACUUUCAACGGUGAAGAUGAUGACGGUAGCCGUAGAAGAAGCCCCGGCUAACUUCGUGCCAGCAGCCGCGGUAAUACGAAGGGGGCGAGCGUUAUUCGGAAUUAUUGGGCGUAAAGGGCUCGCAGGCUGCUUGAACAGUUAGACGUGAAAUCCCCGGGCUCAACCUGGGAACUGCGUUUAAUACUAGCAAGCUAGAGAAAUAGAGAGGAAAGUGGAACUCCCAGUGUAGAGGUGAAAUUCGUAGAUAUUGGGAAGAACACCAGUGGCGAAAGCGACUUUCUGGCUAUUUUCUGACG
rnacentral:rRNA from 1 species